rnacentral:rRNA from 1 species
GACGAACGCUGGCGGCGUGCCUAAUACAUGCAAGUUGAGCGAUGAAGAUUGGUGCUUGCACCAAUUUGAAGAGCAGCGAACGGGUGAGUAACGCGUGGGGAAUCUGCCUUUGAGCGGGGGACAACAUUUGGAAACGAAUGCUAAUACCGCAUAAUAACUUUAAACAUAAGUUUUAAGUUUGAAAGAUGCAAUUGCAUCACUCAAAGAUGAUCCCGCGUUGUAUUAGCUAGUUGGUGAGGUAAAGGCUCACCAAGGCGAUGAUACAUAGCCGGCCUGAGAGGGGGAUCGGCCAAAUUGGGACUGAGACACGGCCCAAACUCCUACGGGAGGGAGCAGUAGGGAAUCUUCGGCAAUGGACGAAAGUCUGACCGAGCAACGCCGCGUGAGUGAAGAAGGUUUUCGGAUCGUAAAACUCUGUUGGUAGAGAAGAACGUUGGUGAGAGUGGAAAGCUCAUCAAGUGACGGUAACUACCCAGAAAGGGACGGCUAACUACGUG